AUGCAGCCGACACUGAAUCCAAACAUUUUUGUUUUGCACUUUUAUCUCUGCAGUUGCGAUGUUUCAUGUUUUUAAUCACGUGAAACAUCUGAACUUAUGAGGCGUGUUGUGGCUGAUAUGAAGCUCUCCUACUCCUCCUUACUUUCACUCUUGAUUCCUCAGACGGUGACGCUGCAGCAAUUUCAGCUGGUUGUGAAACCUGGUAGCUGGUUUUCAGCUGAGCAGAGCGACGUCAUGGCGACAGAAACACUUUCAGAUGAUCUGCAGCCUGUGAAGAGGAGCAGCAGCUUUGAACUUCUGCCACCAAACU